rnacentral:lncRNA from 1 species
AAUAAAGGUAACAGUAGUAUACCGCUGUUCAAAACUCAUAAAUCCAUGGACAAAAAACAAAAUCGGGGUAACAAACUAAAACCGAGGGAAACGCAUUAAAUAUAAGAGGAGAACAACGACACAACACUAAAAUGUAACACACACAGAAACGGACUAAGCAUCAGACAAAAUCCCACGAGAAUAACAAAUAUAACAUCAAAACCAAAUACAUGAAUUUGGGAUAGACAAGUACCGUGACACGUCUUAUCGCAAUGUGAAAUUACACUCAAAAAUAAGAGAA